rnacentral:rRNA from 1 species
AGAGUUUGAUCCUGGCUCAGGAUGAACGCUGGCGGUAUGCCUAACACAUGCAAGUCGAACGGGAAUCUUCGGAUUCUAGUGGCGGACGGGUGAGUAAUGCGUGAGAAUCUGGCUCUAGGACGGGGACAACAGUGGGAAACUACUGCUAAUACCGGAUCAGCCGAGAGGUAAAAGAUUUAUCGCCUAGAGAUGAGCUCGCGUCUGAUUAGCUAGUUGGUGGGGUAAGAGCCCACCAAGGCCACGAUCAGUAGCUGGUCUGAGAGGAUGAGCAGCCACACUGGGACUGAGACACGGCCCAGACUCCUACGGGAGGCAGCAGUGGGGAAUUUUCCGCAAUGGGCGCAAGCCUGACGGAGCAAUACCGCGUGAGGGAAGAAGGCUUUUGGGUUGUAAACCUCUUUUCACAGGGAAGAAGCCAUGACGGUACCUGAGGAAUAAGCAUCGGCUAACUCCGUGCCAGCAGCCGCGGUAAUACGGAGGAUGCAAGCGUUAUCCGGAAUUAUUGGGCGUAAAGCGUCCGCAGGUGGCUAGUCAAGUCUGCCGUCAAAGACAGAAGCUUAACUUCUGGAAGGCGGUGGAAACGGGCGAGCUAGAGCACGGUAGGGGUAGAGGGAAUUCCCAGUGUAGCGGUGAAAUGCGUAGAGAUUGGRAAGAACACCAGUGGCGAAAGCGCUCUACUGGGGCCUGUACUGACACUGAGGGACGAAAGCUAGGGGAGCGAAAGGGAUUAGAUACCCCUGUAGUCCUAGCCGUAAACGAUGGAUACUAGGCGUAGCUUGUAUCGACCCGAGCUGUGCCGAAGCCAACGCGUUAAGUAUCCCGCCUGGGGAGUACGCACGCAAGUGUGAAACUCAAAGGAAUUGACGGGGGCCCGCACAAGCGGUGGAGUAUGUGGUUUAAUUCGAUGCAACGCGAAGAACCUUACCAGGACUUGACAUCUCCGGAAUCCUGCCGAAAGGGAGGAGUGCCUAAGGGAACCGGAAGACAGGUGGUGCAUGGCUGUCGUCAGCUCGUGUCGUGAGAUGUUGGGUUAAGUCCCGCAACGAGCGCAACCCUCGUGCCUAGUUGCCAGCAGUAAGAUGGGCACUCUAGGGAGACUGCCGGUGACAAACCGGAGGAAGGUGGGGAUGACGUCAAGUCAGCAUGCCCCUGAUGUUCUGGGCUACACACGUACUACAAUGGAGGGGACAAAGGGCAGCAAGCUUGAGAAAGUAAGCGAAUCUCAGCAAACCCAGCCUCAGUUCAGAUUGCAGGCUGCAACUCGCCUGCAUGAAGGAGGAAUCGCUAGUAAUCGCAGGUCAGCAUACUGCGGUGAAUUCGUUCCCGGGCCUUGUACACACCGCCCGUCACACCAUGGAAGCUGGCCACGCCCGAAGUCGUUACUCCAACCAGAAAUGGAGGAGGACGCCGAAGGCAGGGCUAGUGACUGGGGUGAAGUCGUAACAAGGUAGCCGUACCGGAAGGUGUGGCUGGAUCACCUCCUUA